CUUCAUAGACUUGUUGAGGGCAGAUGAAGUGAAUGUGAGUGUCAAAGCCACCGGCGGUAAUGAUCUUACCUUCCCCAGCAACAACGUCGGUACAAGAUCCAACUAUCAUGUUCGGACUGACACAGUCCAUCACAUCUGGAUUACCAGCCUUACCAAUACCUACUAUUAAACCAUUCUUGACACCGAUAUCGGCCUUGUAAAUACCGGUCCAAUCCACGAUUAGGGCAUUGACAAUGACAAGAUCCAGUGAUAUUUCGUCAGAUACGCCGGUAGCCUGGCCCAUACCUUCUCGCAG
rnacentral:sRNA from 1 species